rnacentral:rRNA from 1 species
CAUGCAAGUCGAGGGGAAACGACGGGGAAGCUUGCUUCCUUGGGCGUCGACCGGCGCACGGGUGAGUAACGCGUAUCCAACCUGCCUCUGACUGAGGGAUAACCCGUCGAAAGUCGGCCUAAUACCUCAUGGUAUCGUCUGCGGGCAUCCAAUGACGAUUAAAGAUUUCAUCGGUCAGGGAUGGGGAUGCGUCUGAUUAGCUUGUUGGCGGGGUAACGGCCCACCAGGGCUACGAUCAGUAGGGGUUCUGAGAGGAAGGUCCCCCACAUUGGAACUGAGACACGGUCCAAACUCCUACGGGAGGCAGCAGUGAGGAAUAUUGGUCAAUGGGCGAGAGCCUGAACCAGCCAAGUAGCGUGCAGGAUGACGGCCCUAUGGGUUGUAAACUGCUUUUAUGCGGGGAUAAAGUGAGGGACGUGUCCUUCAUUGCAGGUACCGCAUGAAUAAGGACCGGCUAAUUCCGUGCCAGCAGCCGCGGUAAUACGGAAGGUCCGGGCGUUAUCCGGAUUUAUUGGGUUUAAAGGGAGCGUAGGCCGUGGAUUAAGCGUGUUGUGAAAUGCAGGUGCUCAACGUCUGCACUGCAGCGCGAACUGGUCCACUAGAGUGUGCACAACGCAGGCGGAAUUCGUCGUGUAGCGGUGAAAUGCUUAGAUAUGACGAAGAACUCCGAUUGCGAAGGCAGCUUGCGGGAGCACAACUGACGCUGAAGCUCGAAAGUGCGGGUAUCGAUCAGGAUUAGAUACCCUGGUAGUCCGCACGGUAAACGAUGGAUGCCCGUUGUCAGGCUGUUUCAGCCUGGUGACCAAGCGAAAGCAUUAAGCAUC